rnacentral:sRNA from 1 species
AUCGGUUUGUUAACAGAGCCGAUUAUGCGUGCAGAUUUAGUAAUGCAGUCUUCAGUUAAGCGUUAUCUCAGAUAUCUCUUCUUCCUGAUGCCUUCCACAUGCCUCAUAACACAUCUGUAGACAAACCCUAAUGCCAAUUAUGGCUUGUAAAUGAAUGAAGGAAAGACAGAAUGUCUGAUAAAAUGCGCGGUAUCGUAAAAUGGUUUAACGCUGAGAAAGGCUUCGGCUUCAUUUCUCCAAAAGAUGGCAGCAAAGAUGUAUUCGUACAUUUCUCUGCAAUCAGCAGCGAUGGCUUCCGUACUCUGGAAGAAGGUCAGGAAGUUUCUUUCACCAUCGAAAAUGGUCAGAAAGGCCCUGCAGCUGCUAACGUUACCGUUGGCUAAGCAAAAAAUUUGCCAGCUCGAUUUAUCGGGCCAGCUUGAAAAGCCCCGUCAUUGACGGGGCUUUUUUU